rnacentral:misc_RNA from 1 species
GAUGAUACAACUGGAGCUAAUGAGUAUGCUGUUGGAUGCUCAUGGGCUUACAGUGACUGCAUGAGUUUGUUUGCAAUUUUGGGCGGAUCUGGACCCUUGGGUUUGGGCUACUGGUGCAUUGGACAUGACUUGCGACAGUGGGAAGGAGAAAAUUGGCGGUCGGUGAGGUGCAGGGAAGGUCCAUAUGCAUUGUAGACUGUCAAGUUCCAGUCGUUCACGAUUCAGGUUGAAAUCUGACCCGAUUAGAUAUCAGCUUCUAGGGCACCUCAGUGAUGUGCAAAAUCCGCAAGUAUACGUUCAUGUUGUAGUAUAGAAAAUAUCGUUUCCACGAGGAUCGGGAUAAUUACGAAAUUUAUUGAUUAUAUACAUUAUCUAGACGGUUAAUUUGUAUGUAAAUGAAGCAAUAAGGUAGACUAACCAAUAUGCAAAUAAACUAGAUGUAAAUAAAAGCAAAUAUGGAAAGCUAAUGCGGAAAAUUAAUCUAAAAUAAGGUAAUUAAAGUGCAAUUAUAUCUAAAAUAAGGCUAGCUAUAACAAACAAUUACCAAUAUAUAAAAAGGCGAUUCUAGAGUUUGGAAAUGCACACUCCAAUUAACCUGGUAUUCCUCUAAUUAAUUUAAUGAAUGGGUCUCUGAAGGAAAUUAAUUCUGAAAUAUCUAUGAUUCUUUCUCAAGCAUUCAAAGAAGUAUUUUAAACAAGUCAAUUCCUAUUUUCGUGCUCAUGACUUAGUUAAAACCCAUUAAGCUUUGUAAUUAAUUUAUAAAAUCCUUUCACAAAUUUCAUUUUAUCUUUAAAUCUGAAUUUGCAAGUUCUAAGCGUUGGUUUUCCACUAUUAAUUUUUACCUCUCGGUCCUUCAAUUAAUGAUUUAAAACAAUUCUUUGAGACGCCUAACACAAAGCAUGUAAAAAUAAAUCACAAGGCAAGAAUCAAAGCAUGAUAUGCAUUUCAUUAAACCAAAAUCAGAUUAAUAUCAUGGUUAAAAUAGAGUGUUACAUCCCAAACUCUGAAAUCUAAGUUAAUUUGCUCACUCAUGUUCAAGAUUACAAAGAAAACUAUCAAGAAAUUGACAAAUAACAUGAAAAUAAACUAAGAAAUGAAAAACCCUGGUGAAGAUUUAGUCCAAAGUGAUGGAAUCUGAGUAGAAUCCCACGCUGAGCAGAGAACCAUGGGUCUGUGGUUGCUGUUUCUUUUUCUCCAAAGAGAAUUGAAGUUUCUUCUUAGGUUCCUCUCUCUCUUCCCCUUCUUGGAUAAAAACAGAAUAUGAUGCUUUUAUAUUAUAUUGGCAGAAUAAAAGCUCUAAAAGGGUAAAACGCAGCACUGCAGGUCUGGAGUAAGUCACGCUUAAAUUUGUUGAGCUGGACAAAUUUUAAAUUUACAUGACCUUAUGUAACGGCAAGCUUAACACAGUCACGCUUCAUUUCAUGUGUGAAGCCUGCAUUUACAUGAGCUUAUUUAACUGCAAAUUCACCAGAACUCAAAACAUUUUUCCCCUCAUUCUCAAUUUCAGGGACUUCCAAUCAGCAUGUAUCCUUCUGAAAAAGUCUCCAGAAACCUUCUGUGCUUGGAAUUAACCUAAAGGGAAGGAAAAACACAAAUCAAAGGCAAGAUUAUAAAAAUAUAGAAAAUUAAGUAAAAACAUAGUUAACAUAGUAUAAAGUAAAUAUUUACAAGGCCAAAAUGGAUGCAAAAUGAUUCCUAAAUGCCUGUAAAAUGAGAAUGCAUCACUCGGGCGGCUAGACUUGCACUGUUGGAGUUGCAUGUGGAUUGGCAGUGGCAACACGGUUGUUUGAAGUUUAGAGAGUGGUGGCUUGUCACAAGGCUUUGUUUUCUCAAGGAAAUAUAUAUUUUUUUUAAAUAACAACGAUGUGGUGGUCAAGGGGGAAGAAAAAAAUGGAUUUGUGGGUGGAAACUAGAGGGAAAAGCUAGAUAGUGGGGAACUUGAGUGGAUGAUUGUAUUUGGAAAGAAGCUAGGAAAACUUGGAUUGGGUUCUAAUUGCUCUCGUACAACAUAUAUGAUACCAAAUUGAUGUAGAACUAAUAUAGCAAGGGUGAAGGAAAACAAAUUCUCAAGAGAUAAAUUCUCAAGAGAUAAAUUCUCAAUUUAAUUGUCAAUAAUGAAAAAGGCCUACUAAAAUACCUAGAGAACUUUGAUGUAUAUGUUAUAGUUGUUAAUCCUACUACUACUAGGAUUUGGAAUCACAAACAGGCAAAUACUAAUCAAAUUCUAAUUAAAAAUCCAAAACCAACUUAAUUUCCUAAAUAAUAAUAAACACUAAUUAAUAGAAACCUAAAGUUCAUAAUUUUUCAAUGAAAAAUAAAAUCAAAAUAAUUUAACCUUCCUUGGCUGCAUCAUCUCCUUGAUUGGAGAAAACUCAACCUUAAGAUAUAGUGCGGAAGAAUCAAGAACUAGAUUCGAAGAACAAGCAACUGAGCUAUCCUUUUGGAUGGUAGAACUGAGCUAGAAAGAAUUUUAUGCUUUCCUUUGCAUUCUUAAAAGCAUUUGAACAUAGAAAAUCAAUCAAAACUACAAUUGAAAGACUCUUCAAUUUAAUAGGACCAAGGGAAAUGAAAAGUCUACAAUUUCCACUGUCGUUUCCUUGGCUUGAUUUUCUUUUCAAUUUCCAUUGAGGUCUCCAUGGCUUGAUUUUAUUUGUUCCCUAGGAUAGAUUUUCAAGCUUAUCAUGCUCAUUCUCAUUAGUUUCCUUUUCUAGAACAGGUUCUUCAACAUAUGAAGGCUUAACAACCAAAUCUUCGGAUCUUCAAACUUAUGUUCUUCAAGCUGGUAUCUUUUUUCUUUUUCAACUUCAUCUUCAAGUAGCUUGUCAAUGUUCAUCUUUACGUUCUUGCAUCAUAUCUUAAGCAACUCUUGACAUCACAUCAAGCUCUGCUUUUUGUUGAAACAAAUAUUCUUCCUUCCAUGCUUCAAGUUCUCUUCCCCUCACUCAAAAUUUGUUUGAUACCUCAAUAUUUAUAAAAUAAGUGAUUAUAUAAGUCACGAGGACAAUAUUUAACACCACCAUUUUUAUUCAUUCAAUGACAUAUAUAAAAUAACUGUGCCUUGUAGUCAUCACCUUCAUCUUGUAGUCUUUCAAUGUCGGUCCACAAUGUAAAGUCUCACUAAAAAGACAAUUCAAAGCUCUUACAAGCCUUAAAUAUUCAUUUCUGGCCAAAAGGGACAUCAAAAUCAUAAUCAGCACAUUGAAAUUAGAGGGAGGAGUCCGGCAAAAAUUUUUAUUGAGGUGGCAGGAGUUGAUGUGGCAGUGAGGUGGUGGUUGAUGUGGCGUUGAGCUGGCUAUGAUGUGGCACUGAUGUCUGCAAUAACAAACAUAGGAUUUGGUGGAACACAGCUCACAGUUAUUGGGUAAGCUCAGCUGCGGAACUAGAUGGAUCUUGACCCAACCCAAGGAUUUCUCAUUGCUAGGGCAUCAAACUGGAAUUCUGACAAUAGAAAAGGUUGAACGGCCGCUGGCAAGGGUGGGGAAGUUCCAGACUUUGGAAACUAAUGAGCUUCUGGUGGGUCAUGAUUCGAGUCAAGAUUUGACCCGAACAGAUCUCCAUCCCUGGGCAACUGUUGGCAGUCCCUUGGUGCCGAAUAAAUGUUUGGCAGGGAUGGCGCAGUUGUUUGGUGAUAGGAGAGAUGAUGAUUGUUUAAAGGCAGUGAUGAGGGUGUUUGUUCGCUAUGCGCUGCUUCGCAAAGGAUAAGGGCAGUGGCGAGGGUGUUUGUUUGCUAUGCUCUGCUUCGCAAGGGAGAGUGUUAUUACAAAAACAGUAAAUCAAGGAAGGAAAAUUUUUCAAAGGAAGCUAAAACAUAGAUUGAAUUUUUGAGCUUUGAUACCAAAAUGAUGUAGAACAAAAGAACACAAAAGGCAAAGAAACAAAUUCUUAAAUUUUAUUGAUUAUCAAAAAUAAUAUCAUAAUAAGCUCUUUCUUUCUCUCUCUCUCUCU